GAAAAAAAUAGGAGAGAAAAAAACCCGAGAGAAGCAAAAGUAACUUUUGAAGGUUUAUUUAUGGAAGCCCUACCCAAUGGAAUGUUCCGUGUUUGGCUUGAGAAUGACACCAUCAUCCUAGGCUAUAUUUCAAGAAAGAUACGGUCUAAUUCUAUACGAAUAUUGAUGGGGGAUAAGGUCAAAAUUGAAGUAAUUCAUUAUGAUUCAAGCAAGGGGCGUAUAAUUUAUAGACUUCCCCAUAAGGAUUCGUAG
rnacentral:rRNA from 1 species